GACCCAUGCCAUUGUUGGAUGGGCUGCCAAAAAAUUCUCGACUGCAGUAUUUUUCUUAUAUGAACAAAUCCAUCCUGAUGAUGCUUUUGGAGAGCAAAUGAUAAAAAAAUCUUGAGAGUCGAGGAUGCCCUCUCCUUGGUAUACGUGCUACACCGAGCUUACAAUCUAAGCAGAAACUCUUCGUUGAUCAUGGAUGGCAGAGAGCUGUUGCAUGGGAUAUGCUGCAGAUAUAUAAUGAAUUUAUCGAAAUUCAAGAAAAACACAGUGUGAAAUUUAGAAAUGUUAUUUUGUUUGCUACAUGCUAGAGGAAGAAAAUGAGCACCAAGAUUUGUCUUCACAUAAGAUUUUCUCAUGGUUCAUAUUCUGUCAUUUCCCUCUUGGUUUUUUGCAUUUCUUUACUUCACUACUAUUCUUAUCAUCGCCAGACAAACUCCUUACCAUGCACGGCUGCAUAACAAAAUGGGUAGUUGUUCAAGUUAUAAUAUUAGAGUCGUUUGUAUACAUUUUAGGCAUGAUUACUGAGCACUAUAUGGGAUCCGCACGAAAACAUCAUUCGGGUCGGUACAGGCCCUGAAUCGAUCCAUAUCGGCCUAAAUUGUACCCUACCACCCGAUAUUGUCCAAAACUGGGGUGUGUCACAUAUCGACCCAUACUGCCCAGUUUCAGAUGGUACCAUGAUAAAAAGUGAGAAAUGGGGUCGGGAG